AGCUGGGCCAGCGCGCGAAAUGCGAAAUUUGCUUGAACUGGUAAAGUUGUGCCGUACAGGAGUAUGUCGUCCUGCUUUUCAGCUCCACUGUUUAAUAAGCUCAAACUAGAUGCGCCCGUUGAGGGACUGCGGUCAGAGAGCCGGGCACCAGGUUAAAGAAACGUGGUGACGCUACUGACCUGUUAACCGUACCGCGUUCUGUCCUCAACCAUGUCAACGUGAAGACCCGAUUGUACACCAUGUAUGACGUCAACCCCACCGCCACCGAGUUCGCAGGUAACCUCGAAGGUGGUUAGAUGUCGAUCCCAGGCCGUGGAAUCGUUACGGAAGCAGUGCACGGGUAACGAGAGGAGACUACAAAACAGCUCACCUGGCAUAAUUCGUCAUGGGAGGUUGAAUUAUAAGCUUGCAC